rnacentral:rRNA from 1 species
UACGUAGGGACCAAGCGUUGUUCGGAUUUACUGGGCGUAAAGGGCGCGUAGGCGGCGUGACAAGUCACUUGUGAAAUCUCUGGGCUUAACCCAGAACGGCCAAGUGAAACUGUUGUGCUAGAGUGCAGAAGGGGCAAUCGGAAUUCUCGGUGUAGCGGUGAAAUGCGUAGAUAUCGAGAGGAACACCAGAGGUGAAGACGGGUUGCUGGGCCGACACUGACGGCUGACAGCGCGAAAGCCCAGGGGAGCAAACGGG